rnacentral:lncRNA from 1 species
GGAUGCGAUUUGGUGGACCCGAGUCUUGCUGCAUAUUUUCAAUCCUUUUAGUUUUGUUAGGAAGAAAGAAAGAAAAAUAAAAGGAGAUCAUCACAUCGUUAUGGCCACUUUAUCUUCGUUGUCUUUGUUCUGAAUAAUGUUGGGAUUCAUUAAAGGUCAACAUCUUGAGAAAAAUUUAAAUGAUGCAUCUCCUAACAAAGCAUUAGCCGAC